rnacentral:rRNA from 1 species
CGGGAAUAUUGCGCAAUGGAGGAAACUCUGACGCAGUGACGCCGCGUAUAGGAAGAAGGUUUUCGGAUUGUAAACUAUUGUCGUUAGGGAAGAUAAAAGACAGUACCUAAGGAGGAAGCUCCGGCUAACUACGUGCCAGCAGCCGCGGUAAUACGUAGGGAGCAAGCGUUAUCCGGAUUUAUUGGGUGUAAAGGGUGCGUAGACGGGUUAGCAAGUUAGUUGUGAAAGCCCUCGGCUUAACUGAGGAACUGCAACUAAAACUGUUAAUCUUGAGUGUUGGAGAGGAAAGUGGAAUUCCUAGUGUAGCGGUGAAAUGCGUAGAUAUUAGGAGGAACACCGGUGGCGAAGGCGACUUUCUGGACAAUAACUGACGUUGAGGCACGAAAGUGAGGGGAGCAAAC